rnacentral:miRNA from 1 species
UUUGUUCUCUCUCCUUCAAAGGCUUCUGGAGCUGCAUAUAUAUGAUUAUGCAAAAACCUUGGAGCCUUUGGGGAGAGGGGACCAAAA